GGUGAACGCUGGCGGCGUGCUUAAGACAUGCGAGUCGAACGGCAGUCUUCGGACUGUAGUGGCGCACGGUCGAGUAACGCGUAACUGACCUACCCCAAAGUCGCGGAUAACGAUUCGAAAGAAUCGCUAAGACGGGAUGUGCUUUCAGAUUGUGAUCUGGCAGUAAAGAUUGAUUGCUUUGGGAUGGGGUUGCGUUCCAUCAGCUAGUUGGUGGGGUAAACGCCCACCAAGACGACGACGGAUAGCCGGCCUGAGAGGGUGGCCGGCCACAGGGGCACUGAGACACGGGUCCCACUCCUACGGGAGGCAGCAGUUAGGAAUCUUCCACAAUGGGCGGAAGCCUGAUGGAGCGACGGCGCGUGAGGGAUGAAGGUUUUCGGAUCGUAAACCUCUGAAUCAGGGACGAAAGACACUUCGGUGGGAUGACGGUACCUGAGUAAUAGCACCGGCUAACUCCGUGCCAGCCGCCGCAGUAACAC
rnacentral:rRNA from 1 species